GGUUGAGCGUCUAGCCCAGCUCAGCGUGACUUCCGCCAGCGUUUAGAACGUUUUCGGGGUCCGAGUUGAAGAGCAAAACCAAGUGAAGGAAACUUCACUAAGUUCAGGGUGACAAGGGAGGAAGUACAGAGACUGCACUUUAAAUUCUGGAUGACAGACCUAUCAGGACUGAGUGGACCUUUGAGUGACAAGAUGGGGGUGUUCCAAAGAGACCAUAGCAGCCUGCAGCUAGGACUUUAAUAAACAGAGCGCUUAAAAAGCACUGUCUGGAUAUCUUCAGAGGGAAAAAGGAGAAAGUUAACUGAAUUGGUGACACUUCGGGUCUCUCACAGAGGAAGAGACCACCAAACCAACAGAAGCCACCAGGACAGCACACAGCCAUUCCAAAAUUCCAGACCAGGAUCAUUCCAGAAAAGCCUUACAUCUCAAUCCAGUAUAUGGAUGGUUUUGUAAGAUGACCUAUGAUUUUUCUGUUCCUCCUUCCUGCCCCUAACUUCAGAGAAACAGACCUAGAAAGAGGGAAGGAAGGAGUGAAAAAGCGUGCCAUACUUUACCUUCUCCCCUUCUGUUUUAAACUAGACAAAUCUCUAUUUUAAUUAUUAUAAGUAACCAGAAAGUUACAUGUUCUGGCCAGGAUGGCAUUAAAGAAAAUGAGAGAGAAAAGUUUAAGAUAGCAUGGUUGGAGACAAUAAGUAGAAGAAACCAAGUAGUUCAAGUUUUAUAACGCUCUGUCUUAUAAACACUCUUGAACCAAUAAUAAUGCUAUUACUGAAAUGCUGCACACAAUUGAAGACUACUUGUUAGACCAAGACCUUAAAAACUUCUUUACUGAUUAUUCCCAAUGUGUGGCCCUGGUAAUCAUUGAAGAAUCAUUGUAUUGACUAUUAAACAUCUAGGGAUCACCUGUUUAAAUCAAGUUAACAAAACACUUAUUUAACAAAUAUAUAUUGAUUGCCUAUUAUGAAGUAGAUGCUAUAGUAGGUGCUGGCAGUAUAAAUAUGAAGAGAGACAUUGUAUGUGCAUAUUAAUAUACAGCGAAUUAAACUUCAGCCAGAGAAGUACUUUACCAGAAGGUUGAUAGAAGUGUGGUGGUAGCUCGCAGGAGGAAGCGCUUAGCCUCCUUGGAAAUGAGUAAUCUUCACAGAAAGUAUGACAUUUGACCUGCUUCUUGGAGGACAUGCAUAUUAAACCUAUUAAAUCCAUGUCAGCCUUUAACAUCUUUGCUCAGAUUAGUUUCUCGAGCUGUUUUCCCACCUGGUGAGCAGAUAAGAGCAGGACAGGAAAGUUCUGAUGAAAGGAAGAAGUGCCAGAGAGAGAAGGCCUUGCAAGGAAAGAAGCCUGACAGGCAGGAGCCCCUGAGUAUCCUAAGGAGAAGUACCAGCGAUUUAGGGAAGAAAAUUGCUGCCAGAAGUGCAGGAAAUAAAAAUUCUGACCUAGAUCA
rnacentral:antisense_RNA from 1 species